rnacentral:rRNA from 1 species
AGGUCCCAAAUGACGUGCUAAGUGGAAAACGAAGUGGAAAGGCAUAGACAGCCAGGAUGUUGGCUUAGAAGCAGCCAUCAUUUAAAGAAAGCGUAAUAGCUCACUGGUCGAGUCGUCCUGCGCGGAAGAUGUAACGGGGCUAAGCACGUAACCGAAGCUUCGGAUGCUGCAUUCUUCGGAAUGUAUGCAUGGUAGGAGAGCGUUCUGUAGGCCUGCGAAGGUGUUCUGUGAGGAAUGCUGGAGGUAUCAGAAGUGCGAAUGCUGACAUGAGUAGCGAUAAAGGGAGUGAAAAGCUCCCUCGCCGAAAACCCAAGGUUUCCUGCGCAACGUUCAUCGGCGCAGGGUGAGUCGGCCCCUAAGGUGAGGCAGAGAUGCGUAGCUGAUGGGAAACAGGUUAAUAUUCCUGUACCUGUAUACAAUGCGAUGUGGGGACGGAGAAGGUUAGGUCAGCCGGGUGUUGGAUGUCCCGGUUCAAGCGUGUAGGUUGGUUCUUUAGGCAAAUCCGGAGAGCUAAGACUGAGACGUGAUAACGAGUGCACUUGUGCACGAAGUGAUUGAUACCAUGCUUCCAAGAAAAGCCACUAAGCUUCAGUUGUAUAGAGACCGUACCGCAAACCGACACAGGUGGGUAGGAUGAGAAUUCUAAGGCGCUUGAGAGAACCCGGGAGAAGGAACUCGGCAAAUUAGCACCGUAACUUCGGGAGAAGGUGCGCCCCGGUAGAGUGUAGCGACUUGCUCGUGAAGCUCGAUGGGGUUGCAGUGAAAAGGUGGCUGCGACUGUUUAAUAAAAACACAGCACUCUGCAAACACGAAAGUGGACGUAUAGGGUGUGACGCCUGCCCGGUGCUGGAAGAUUAAAUGAUGGGGUGCAAGCUCUUGAUUGAAGUCCCAGUAAACGGCGGCCGUAACUAUAACGGUCCUAAGGUAGCGAAAUUCCUUGUCGGGUAAGUUCCGACCCGCACGAAUGGCGUAACGAUGGCCACACUGUCUCCUCUCGGGACUCAGCGAAGUUGAAAUGUUUGUGAAGAUGCAAUCUACCCGCGGCUAGACGGAAAGACCCCAUGAACCUUUACUGUAGCUUUACAUUGGACUUUGACAAGAUUUGUGUAGGAUAGGUGGGAGACUAUGAAGCGGCGUCGCUAGAUGUCGUGGAGUCAACCUUCUGCCUUCUCCUCCUCUCCUCCCUCUCUGACCCGCACAUAUUCCUCCGUGUAUCCCCGUAUUCUGGGGAGAUUCGUAUGCGCGCCCUGGUCCGUGUAGGACUGUCCUGGCCGGCCUAUUUCACAAGUCCGUUUUUUGUUAGAAUGACCGCAAGGACGAUAACAGGAGUGGCAAAACAAUUGCAGAACAAGUGGGAGGAAAAUGGAACGGGGACGGUAUUGGAAAAGGGACA